CAGGAACUAUAACCUAAUAUCAGUAUCACAGAUUGAAUUGCAUCCUCCUACCUUCACAUCUUGAAGUCCUUACCACCACUACCUCAGAACAUGACCUUAUUUGGAAAUAGGACCAUUCCAGAUAUAAUUCUGAAGCUAAACUCUGUAGAGUAAAAUCGUGUGGUACCAAGACGCAGCCACAGUAACACAAUCACAGCUGGGUACUGGCUCCCAUGUUCUGCCCAGCUUCUGUCUGUGGAUCAAAGUUCCUUUCUUCUUCAGGAGAAGGAAUGGGGCUAGGAAGUGACCAGGAUUUUCUCAGAUCGUGUCACCUUGAUGCUUCCCUGAAGCUGCAGGAGUCUCACUUCCAGCUGAAGGUGUCUGCAGGCUUGUCAUUCCUGGAUGUUGCUAUUUAUGCUGGUCACCCACUGAGGAUGUGGAAACUUCGGGUGCCUGCAUGAUCACUGAACAGCAUGGAUCUGGUGAUGCUGAUGGCUCCUGGGUGAGGACCUGAAGUGGCAGCAGAGGUGCUGGGAAAGGGUCACUAUUUGGUCUCACAAACCCAGUGGAUUUCCUUCCAUCAUCCAUUUGUGUGAGUCAGCCGUUUGCCCCCACUGACCUGAUUGAUACAAUUCAUUCUGGAGCCCUGAAGGCCAGUCCAGCCACCUGGGGGUCUCCAGCUGCCAUGCUGCAAGUGCAGGGAUACCAGUGCCCUUGGAAGUCACCGGGCAGAUGUGGAAGUUCCUACUUGCUCUCAACGCCAUGCCAUGCAGCUUCUCUGCAUCAUGCACUGCCUGCAGGUCCAGAGGAGAGUGAGAACAGUCCCAAAGGGAUUCAAAAUAUGUAAAUGAUAGAGUUUCAGG